GUCGCCUUCCCCUGUAUCUUAACGCCCAGCUGGUUGACAUCCUUUCCUGGAGCUCCGCAAGCUUCCUCAACGUUCUGUCCCAAGUCUGGACUUCCCUGUCCCUCCCUGCCCCCUAGUUGGUGGGUGCGGGUGGAGGGUGAGGCCCUAGUUGGGCUCAGAGAUCCCGUCCCAGCUUAGGGAGGAGGGGCCUGUCCAGGGACCCUGAGUGUCAGGGACACGCCCUGUCCACCCUGGCCCCUCAGAAUUCUGUCAGCCCAUUUUGCCUUCCUUCUGUCUUGGCCCUGCUCUAGUUCUAUUUCUGUCACACACACACACACACACACACACACACGAACCCCCGCCCCAGCCGGCUUCCUGGGCUCUUCGAUGGCUCCACCCUCCCACCCCUCCCUCCUCUGCCCUUAAGUCCCUGACUCCCAGGGGAUGCUGAGUCUGGCCUGCUGUGCAGUGGACUGCUAGCUGGGGCUCUGCCGCAGGCUCUCAGUGGCAGAGCCUUGGAGCACCAUGGCUUCCGCUAAGGACAUCGACGAUUUCAUCAAUUCCCUCAAAGCCAAAUUGUUUCAAUUCGUGGAAUUGUUUUGUACAAACCUUCAAAAGAAGUCUAAAGAAGAGGUCUGCUCAGAUCUUAUUUUAAUGGAGAGCAUAUGCAGUGCAGAUAUGGCUGACGCCGUGGAUGCUCAAGUUAACAACUCGGAAUCCUGUCCAUUGCUUCGUGAAACACUGCAGGAGUUGCGUCGCAGAGUCUGUGAGCCCUCUGGCUCCUACAGUCCCCCAGGCCGGAACCAGCCCUUUGACUCCUCCACUUCAAGGGAUUGGUAUGACUGGACACUUGAGCUAUUUAAAGAGCUCCUGCGGCGACUGCAGCAGAAGUUUCAGAAAGCCCUGGAGUGGCUUCAUCAGAUAGCGGCUGCCUGCCUACAGGGCUUGCGCAUAGCGGCUGAGGCCGUCUGGAGAGUGUUGAAUGAUUUUUGCUCCUCUCUGGAGCAGCUCUUCAGGAGCCUCAUCCAGGUCUAGAAGCCCCAAGGGGUCCCCAGGGAGCUUGGCCUCAUCUAGACGCCUCAAUUUCCCCUUCUCACAGGGCAUCUUCUGAUGCACCCUUUACCCUCCUGCUCACCCUUGACCCAUCCUCAUAGCCUGCCUCACCCCCUCCCCUUCAGGGAGGGCACCACCCAGCCCAUCUAACUCUCCCUGCCUGAAUUUUCCUGCACCAGGUCUGGCCUGCCUGUCACUGUAGUGCUGAUGUCCUAAUAAAAGUCAGUUGACCCAAAUGGAGUGUCUGUGUGGAUGAGAGGCUGGGGGUCGGAUGGCUACAGGCAGAGGUGGUGGGUCAGAUGGAUCCAGGUGGGGGUCCUGGUGCUGGAUGGAUAAGCAAAUGCCACUGGACUCUCUAAUCUGUAACUGGGAAUGAAGGAGGAAACAGACAGAACAGGCUCCAUCUUGCAAGCAGGACUCCAUCUUGGGUCAGACUGUGGACUUUGAGCUAUGUGCCCAGUAUCUAUGGAAACGAUGUACCAACUGGAAAACCCCCCACCGCCGAUGGAAGAGCCCCAGGGCUCGUACCUAGACUCUCCAUUGCCUAAAAGAAUUCCCUAAUUAUCUGGGUAACCAAAUAGAAUCAUGAAUUCUAUUAUGCUUAUUGGGAUAUGACCACAGGCUUAUUGAUAAUUGUCCACUGUUAACUACUUAGCUCAAGGCAUAUGAUCACAGGUUAACUUUGAUUGUAUCUUUCUUUUUCCUUUAUUUCAGACUAGUUUCAGAGAAUUUGGGGAGGUGGGUUUGAGCAUGUACAUUUAGGGUAUAUAAGGGGUCCUUGGCUAAGAGGAGACUCUACCUCAGGCCCCCUGGUGUAAUAAACUGCACUCCACUAUCUGCAUUGUCUUUCUGAGUGAGUUUGUUUCCCAGAACGCGUGGCUACAACAGGAACACUGGUCGUGGACUGACUGGCGGGGAGGACUGGACCAUCACACUCCUAGGGCCCAGGGAGCUCGGGGGAGGGGCUUUGACCCCUCUUGUCUUCUCCUGACC
ensembl:lncRNA